rnacentral:rRNA from 1 species
CGGAUAUAACUCUCAGGCUGGAGUGCCGAGAGUUAGAAACGUUCCGGCGCUGUAGGAUGUGGCUGCGGCCGAUUAGGUAGAUGGUGGGGUAACGGCCCACCAUGCCGAUAAUCGGUACAGGUUGUGAGAGCAAGAGCCUGGAGACGGUAUCUGAGACAAGAUACCGGGCCCUACGGGGCGCAGCAGGCGCGAAACCUUUACACUGCACGACAGUGCGAUAGGGGGCUCCGAGUGUGAGGGCAUAUAGCCCUCGCUUUUCUGUACCGUAAGGUGGUACAGGAACAAGGACUGGGCAAGACCGGUGCCAGCCGCCGCGGUAAUACCGGCAGUCCAAGUGAUGGCCGAUAUUAUUGGGCCUAAAGCGUCCGU